rnacentral:tRNA from 1 species
UGGCUUAGUAGUUAAAAGUGCUCGGCUGCUAACUGAAACGUUGGUGGUUCGAAUCCAUC